GUACAGCUCCUGGGGCAAUCUUAGUUAGGUCUCUUGAGUUCAUUACUUCGUCUCUGAUAACAGAUGGUGUUUUCAUAGAGUCAUUUCCAUAAGGAUUAUGUAAGACAACAGAAAUAAUAUCAUGAAGGGUUGCCAUUUCUCAUAACUAAGUCAUAGGAUUAAAUCACAAGGAAAGCAAAGCAAGAUGAUCUGAACAGGCAUUUCUGCAGACUUGCUUACUUUCAAGUGCUUAGAAAACUCUCAGAUUAAAUAAGAAAGCGAUCAGUAUGUAUUUUACUCCUGAGUGCAAGAUAUCUGCCAAGACAAUGUGCAUUUACAUGUUUAGUGUACAAAUUGUUUGAAAACCUUCCCCCUGUUCUGCAGAAGCUCUCUCCUUUGAGACUUCAUUGCCUCAUUAUUUCAAGUGCAUCUCUUCUGGACAAAAUUUGAUUUGCAUAAGUCAGAAAAAAAUAAAAUUACCUGAAUAGAUCAGA